AUUGAACGCUGGCGGCAGGCCUAACACAUGCAAGUCGAGCGGAGCGGCGGACGGGUGAGUGAUGCCUAGGAAUCUGCCUGUGAGUGGGGGAGAACGUUCGGAAACGGGCGCUGAUACCACAUACUAUCAGAAUAGCCUAGGUCGGAUUAGCUAGUGGGUGGGGGAAAGGCCUACCAAGGCGACGAUCCGUACCUGGUCUGAGAGGAUGAUCAGUCACACGGGAACUGAGACACGGUCCAGAGUCCUACGGGAGGCAGCAGUGGGGAAUAUUGGACAAUGGGCGAAAGCCUGAUCCAGCCAUGCCGCGUGUGUGAAGAAGGUCUUCGGAUUGUAAAGCACUUUAAGUUGGGAGGCGUUACCAACAGAAUAAGCACCGGCUAACUCCGUGCCAGCAGCCGCGGUAAUUC
rnacentral:rRNA from 1 species